GAGACUGUCAUCAGCACUUUGUUGCUCUUUAAUAAACAGGAUGCCGAGGCACUGAAGACACACGCCAGCUGUCCUACCGUGCUAUGGAUGUUGCAGAGGACACAUGGAUGUGGGAUGACUUUUUCCCAUGCUUUCUGUAGCCUGAGUUUAUGAGCGGCUGUGUGUUUAUUCCAGGAUUGGGAAUAUAACCAAGUCCUGGUUACCAUGGCUAAUGGAUGGUCAUAAAGAUUUCAAGCAUCUGGGAAAAUCGAAGUGUGAUUUUUGCAGACACAUUUUUAAGGGCUAGAAUCCAGGAAGAUGAACCUGUGCUUCCUCACUAUGCACAAUCAACAGAUAUUCACACUAAUGUCAUUUCCUACAUGCAACACCAAGAGGAGAGAUAGUGACAGAUGUCACAGAAAAUGGCCCAUUUAUUCACUGAGGAUCAACCAACGAGUGACUUCCUGUGAGGACCUGGGCAGGACAUCUGGAGAAUCCAUCGUGUUACAGAGGUAGACAAGCUGGCAUAAUCUAGAAGAAUGGCCAAUGUCAAUCAAACUCCAGCAAUAACACAGUGAACAUGAUUGAACCAGAAGGAAAAUGAGAAAGUUCGGUGGGGGGAACACAAGGCUGCUUGGAACCAACCUGGGAUUGCUAUGUGUUGAAGACCAAGAAGAUGAGCUGCUGGUCCCCUAUAAGCCACAGCUCCUGGUCUGAGUCAACCACUCCCUUGCAUGACCUCCAGAUUCGGCCCAGCUGUUCUUAAGCAUCAAAGAGGAGGAAGUCAGAGAGAAACAAUUGAAUAUUCAGUGUCUUUAAACACAGGCCCAUGAGUGCUGUGACUUGGCAUGGCCAAGGGGCGCAUAGUCUCCGAGAAAUGCUUCCCACACACCGGCCUGAGCAGGGAUGUUAAUUCCUGAAGAUGGAGC
ensembl:lincRNA